GACGAACGCUUUCUUCUUUCUUAACACAUGCAGGUCGAACGAAGAGCGAUGGAAGCUUGCUUCUAUCAAUCUUAGUGGCGAACGGGUGAGUAACGCGUAAUCAACCUGCCCUUCAGAGGGGGACAACAGUUGGAAACGACUGCUAAUACCGCAUACGAUCUAAUCUCGGCAUCGAGGAUAGAUGAAAGGUGGCCUCUACAUGUAAGCUAUCACUGAAGGAGGGGAUUGCGUCUGAUUAGCUAGUUGGAGGGGUAACGGCCCACCAAGGCGAUGAUCAGUAGCCGGUCUGAGAGGAUGAACGGCCACAUUGGGACUGAGACACGGCCCAGACUCCUACGGGAGGCAGCAGUGGGGAAUCUUCCGCAAUGGACGAAAGUCUGACGGAGCAACGCCGCGUGAGUGAUGACGGCCUUCGGGUUGUAAAGCUCUGUUAAUCGGGACGAAAGGCCUUCUUGCGAAUAGUGAGAAGGAUUGACGGUACCGGAAUAGAAAGCCACGGCUAACUACGUG
rnacentral:rRNA from 1 species